UUUCCGUAGGUGAACCUGCGGAAGGAUCAUUCAUAAUAAGUGUUUUAUGGCACUUUUUAAAUCCAUAUCCACCUUGUGUGCAAUGUCUGUCGUGCUCUUCUAUGGGAAUGACCAAACGUCAACCAACUCUUUAACUCUUUGUCUGAUAAAUAUUACUAAUUAAAUAAUUCAAGAUACAACUUUCAACAACGGAUCUCUUGGCUCUC
rnacentral:misc_RNA from 1 species